AAUUUGUAAAAAAACAGCUGCUCUGCUUAAAAGUGUGUGCGUGUAUAACGGUUUUUUGCAUGUGUGCGUUUGCAUGCCGCAGGUGUAAUGUUGUUGAUUGAGCAUGCCGCAUCCAUAUUACAUUCGGCUUUUCCGCUUGAUCUGCCAGCAAUGCCAGAGCUGUGAAAUUCUAAAAUUAAUGAGUGCCAAGCGUAGCUGAAAAACCGAAAAACAAAAGCAGAGUAGUAAGACUGUGUGGGAGAAAUCGAAGAAAAAAACGUAUACAGUAUUCGACCAAAUUAAGCAUACAUGGCCGACUGAGCCAUUUGCCUUACGACCCAGACAAUAUCAUCAAUUACAGCCCGGCAUUGAGUGCAAUAAGUAAACGAUACGUUUCGAGUGUUAACCACAGCCGCAGGACAUUUAACACUUCAACGGCUUUUGGCUCAACCACAUUAACCACAUCGCCUUGGAUUGGCAGUAGCGAAAGUGCUUAGU